ACUUUAGCUCAGUAGGUAGAGCACUUCCUUGGUAAGGAAGAGGUCGUCGGUUCGAUUCCGAUAG
rnacentral:tRNA from 1 species